rnacentral:tRNA from 1 species
AGGCCUAGGAGAAAAACUCAAAUCCAAAUUUGCACUUGGCAACUGCUAGGCC